rnacentral:rRNA from 1 species
CAAAGGUGAGCCAGUACAGGAUGGACCCGCGUCUGAUUAGCUAGUUGGUAAGGUAACGGCUUACCAAGGCGACGAUCAGUAGCCGACCUGAGAGGGUGAUCGGCCACAUUGGAACUGAGACACGGUCCAAACUCCUACGGGAGGCAGCAGUGGGGAAUAUUGCACAAUGGGCGAAAGCCUGAUGCAGCAACGCCGCGUGAGUGAUGAAGGCCUUCGGGUCGUAAAACUCUGUCCUCAAGGAAGAUAAUGACGGUACUUGAGGAGGAAGCCCCGGCUAACUACGUGCCAGCAGCCGCGGUAAUACGUAGGGGGCUAGCGUUAUCCGGAUUUACUGGGCGUAAAGGGUGCGUAGGCGGUCUUUCAAGUCAGGAGUGAAAGGCUACGGCUCAACCGUAGUAAGCUCUUGAAACUGGGAGACUUGAGUGCAGGAGAGGAGAGUGGAAUUCCUAGUGUAGCGGUGAAAUGCGUAGAUAUUAGGAGGAACACCAGUUGCGAAGGCGGCUCUCUGGACUGUAACUGACGCUGAGGCACGAAAGCGUGGGGAGCAAACAGGAUUAGAUACCCUGGUAGUCCACGCUGUAAA